rnacentral:misc_RNA from 1 species
GAUGAAGAACGUAGCGAAAUGCGAUAAGUAAUGUGAAUUGCAGAAUUCAGUGAAUCAUCGAAUCUUUGAACGCACAUUGCGCCCGCCAGCAUUCUGGCGGGCAUGCCUGUUCGAGCGUCAUUUCAACCCUCGAGCCCCCCCGGGGGCCUCGGUGUUGGGGGACGGCACACCAGCCGCCCCCGAAAUGCAGUGGCGACCCCGCCGCAGCCUCCCCUGCGUAGUAGCACACACCUCGCGCCGGAGCGCGGAGGCGGUCACGCCGUAAAACGCCCAACUUUCUUAGAGUUGACCUCGGAUCAGGUAGGAAUACCCGCUGAACUUAAGCAUAUCAAUAAGCGGAGGA